UUUCACUCAACUUUAGAACAAACCUAAUUAAAUCUUAAACCCUAAUAAUUCCUAAACCCUAAGUCAAAUCCUAAAUAAAUCUUAAAUUAAACCCUAUUCGAAAUCCUAAAUCCUAAACCAAAUCCUAAAUCAAAUCCUAAACCAAAUCCUAAUCCAAUCCUAAAUCCUAAACCAAACCUUAAAUCAAAUCCUAACCAAAUCCUAAUCCAAAUCCUAAAUCAAAUCCUAACCAAAUCCUAAAUCCUAAUCCAAACCCUAAUCCAAAUCCUAAUCUAAUCCUAAAUUCUAAUCCAAAUCCUAAACCCUAAAUCAAAUCUUAAAUCAAAUCCUAACCAAACUCUAAUCCAAACCCUAAAUCAAAUCCUAACUAAAUCUUAAACUCUAAUCCAAAUCCUAAUCCAAACACUAAUCCAAUCCUAAACUCUAAUCCAAACCCUAAAUCCUAAACCAAACCUUAAAUCAAACCCUAACCAAAUCUUAAAUC
rnacentral:lncRNA from 1 species